rnacentral:lncRNA from 1 species
GAAAAGUUCAUAAAGCCUUUGUGUUUCCUUCUCCAGGUUUCCCCCAGUCCAGUCUUCCUCCUCUUCCUCCUUCUCUUCCUCCUCCUCCUCCAUCAUCUUCUUCUUCUUCUUCUUCUUCUUCUUCUUCUUCUUCUUCUUCUUCUUCUUCUUCUUCUUCUUCAUCAUCAUCAUCACUAUUAUUGUUCCUAGAGUGAAGAUGAUAUCAUUGGCAUGAGCUUUUGGAGAAGGUGUGAUGAACAGCAUUUUUAUAGACAGCAUUGAAAAUGCAUGGUAUAGAAUAUGACUUUGCUAUAGGCUAUUUGCCUUCUUCUAUCAUUGCGUAUGCAUAAUCUCAUUAGGUCUUUGCACCUAUCUGAGUUUUGUCUUCUUCUGUAGGAACAGAUAGAGUUUUCUUUGCUUUAUAAAGAACGACUUUCUUAAAUUAAUAGUGUAAAGGAAGUUGUUGACUGCUAAAUUUAAAUUUACUCAAUAUCCAUGCUUUAAAAAAAUAUUGAAGCAAAUGAACGCCAGCCAUUAAUUAAAGCAACUGCUUCCAAUAUAGAGAGCUCUUAAGAGCUGAUUAAGCAACAUGCUGUAUUCAUUUGUUCAAUUUCAGAACGCCUUUGCCUUGCCUGAUUUAGCAACAUUUCCCACAGCCUUUCUCAACAUUACAAAUGCUGUUUUGUUUUCUGUAAUAAACACAGUUAAACCAUAAACACAGCUAAACUCAGAGAUUCCCAAGAAAGAAAAGAAAUACACAUGCAUGCACAUGCGUGCAUGAACACACAUACACACACACACACACACACACACACACUUUCUCUCUGUCUUACAUGUACACAUACACAAGUGCACAAGAACAGUUAAACAUAUGACCCCCCUCCCAUGUAUAAUUUGGAGUGAGAACACGCACCAUUUUAAAGUGAAAUUGUUAAUAUUCCCAUCUUGAUUAGUUGGAAGCUAGGAUUCCUUUUCUCAGGUUUUCUCCUCCUUUCCCCUCUUUUCAUAUGUGUGUGUGUGUGUUACUUGAAAGUCAGCCAUAGUCUGAAGGGUGGUGUAGUGGGAAAACAAUAGAAAAACAUUGAUUCUCACCAUUUAUUACCAUGAAAGAACAUCUACAUGCAUGUAGAUCUUGACACAUAAACCCACAUAUAUAAACACAUGUGUGCAUAUCUGUGCAUGUGUAUAGAUUGUAGGUACUUUCUGGUGGAUUAAACACAAGUUGAUAAUGUCUGAGGACUCUCAGGGGGCACAGUGAGAAGCUGCUAUAACAAGUGUGCCCAGUUACUUCAUGUCUGUGCUCACCAGAACUUGUGUGAGAUGAUAUGCAACAAAGAUAUUCCUCAUUGGUCAGAGAUAAUUUCUCUAAAAAAUACUGAGGAAUCUCCACUGGGGGGGGGGGACCCUUAACCAUGAUGUUAGGAGAGACUGGGAUAAUCUUCUAAUCUCUAGUGCUGACCAGGAUGAGCCACUCAGACAUCCCAUUAUGGUGAUCUGUCCUCUUCUGCCAGAAUCGAGAUAACCUAAAAGAAAGGAUUUUUGCAAGUCACUGUCUGACUUUUCCAGGCAAUUCAACAAAUUCUUUUUUAAGGAAAAAAAAAAGCAGCAUUUGUUUUCCUUCAAAGAGUUUCUGUUCUGUGAUUGAGAGGACAUGGUUUUUGGACUGCUGUCUGCAGGAGGAGAAGCCAGAUGGAAGGCAGCUUUCUCUCAGCUCUGGCAAUUAUAACAGUCAUUAAACCCCAGGUAAAUGGGAACUCUUUAAACAUUUGCAGAUAUAAAUCCAACACAGUAGGAAAGUGACCCAAAGGGAAGUGCUUAUUGAUCCAUUUUCCCCCCAGAAAGCUGUCAGUGAGGGAUGAACACCAUCUCAUUUAAUAGAAGUGGCUCUAAGCAUCUUACAGGUGCUCGCCCUACCAUUCCUUGCAGGGCUGUCUGACCACACUCGAGAAGCUUGCCCUUUUCCACCAUCACUUUCCUCAUCUGUUAUUGAGCACAAAAGCCUUAGCUUGGAGCCUUCCAGUGGGAGGCAGCUCAGGAGGAAUACGCCAUCAGGUCGUUUUGUACUACAAAUCCAUUUUUUUUUUGCCAGAUUUUAUCACUUUAUUUUCUCCUCAGUAGGACCUUGUUCACCACUGCCAGCUCCUUUCGGUCCCAGAGAACAAAGAGCAGAGAGGGAGGUUUUAAUGUGGUGCUAUUCACAUGUCAUGGAGUGAGACAGACACGAGCCAUUCUGACUGUCUUGCACAUCUGCUUGUCUUGGAAGCUCACCUUUUCUGUGGCCCACAAUGCAACCAAGGGAUAUGGAAGAGGCCCAACUUGGUCUGAUAGGGUGUUUUCUUGUCACAAAGCCUUCCAUGGGUGAUUCUAGUUUAGAGCAUGUGAGACACAGUUUUGGGAACUCCAGUACAAGACUGGUGAUAGUUGGGUUGGGUGUGUUUAAAAAUUCUGGAGAGUAAACUCCACGGGAGCCCCAUGCCCAGGAGAACUUGGCCAACAGAAAUCAUACUCCAUAUUCCUUCUGUGCCUUUUUGUUUUUUGUGUUCUUAAGAGAGAGAAAGAACACGCUGUUGGAUGGGUGGACUGGGGAUGGAUCUGGCAGCACUUAAAGGAGAGGAAAUAAUAUUAUUAAGAAUAUAUUAUAUAAAAAUUUUCAUACAUGAAUGAAAACAUACAAAGAGAAAUAAGUAAAAUGAUUGAAGAAAAACAUUUUCAACAAACAAAAAUAAAACAAUGCCAUUGGAAGGUAAUUGUUUUCCCUUUGCUAUUUAUAGUCCUGUUGUAGACAAAAAAAUCUCAAAAUUGAUAACCUACAAUAAAGAGACUUAAAAUAAUAAUUGCAUUUUGUUGUGAACCACAAAAUAAAAUUUACCUAGAUUUUUGAAAGCAAUAAGUAGAACCUGGAGAGUCAGGAAAAAGGCUUAUUUUCAUUUCAAUCCGCUUCAUGUUCUCAUCUUCUAGGACAGGAUGUGAACGCAUUGUGGGCUUGUGGGAGAGGCUACAGAACCUCUUGUUUGGAAAUGUUGUACUUCCCAGGCCCCUUGAUUGAUCACUGGUGGGUAGGGUGUCUGCUCCUUCCAGGGAAAGGUACUGAAAUCGUGAGAGAGCAAUGUCCCAGUUGUCUUUCCUCCAUGGUACACUUGACCAUCACAGUUUACAAUGAUCAUGUUUCAAGAUGGAGUUGGAGUAGCUAUCUGAGUGUCCAAAGAUGGAAGCCUAGCAAUCCUUAUGGUAUUUCCCAUGAGAUCUGAAUUUCUCAAUGGCCAUACAUUUGAGACUUAGUGACCCGUGCUUUUGUAAAUUCAUAGCCUAGUGUAGCCUUUCCUGUAUGAAUUGAACAG